AACGAACGCUGGCGGCAUGCCUAACACAUGCAAGUCGAACGAAGUCUUCGGACUUAGUGGCGCACGGGUGCGUAACGCGUGGGAAUCUGCCCUUGGUGCGGAAUAACUUCUCGAAAGGGAUGCUAAUACCGCAUAAUGUCGUAAGACCAAAGAUUUAUCGCCCAAGGAUGAGCCCGCGUAAGAUUAGCUAGUUGGUGGGGUAAAAGCCUACCAAGGCGACGAUCUUUAGCUGGUCUGAGAGGAUGAUCAGCCACACUGGGACUGAGACACGGCCCAGACUCCUACGGAGGCAGCAGUCGGGGAAUAUUGCGCAAUGGCGGAAAGCCUGACGCAGCGACGCCGCGUGGGUGAU
rnacentral:rRNA from 1 species